AAUUAUAUUGAUUUGGUUAUUUUUAAAAAAGUUAUAGCAAUUUUUAGUAAAAAAAAUUGAAAAAAUUUUGAAAAUUAGCGAUUUUUAAAUUUGUAAUUUUUUUAGAGGUUUCCCCCAUUUACGGGGAACGAGGGGAUUUUUUUCAAUUUUUGAGGGUAAUGUCUUCGACUAGAUACGAUUUGUGAUCUUUUGACGUAUCAUUGAAAGAAAUCGGUUCGGUGAGAGCUGAGAAAAAGUGAUUACAGACAAAAAAUAAAAAAACAUAUCUUAGUAAAACCAAUACCUUCUCAGCUUCGCAUCGAAGCUAAAAAACUUAUAGUUCAGUCUAAUUAUUAUUGCUAUAAGCAUAUUUAUUAUAAUUGAUUUGUAUUUUAUUCCAGCGUGUCCGACGAUUAUUUUUUCCGGCAUCAUCUGACGGACUAUUAAAAAAAAAAAGAAAGAAAACAUGAAUUACAACUUAAUAAUGAUAAAAGUUUUACUAUUUAACAAUUCAAACUACAACGAUAAAACCAUACUGCAUUUUAUGUUGAACAAAAAAUACGUUAUUAAUAAAUGAACUUAAAUAAUAUACUUACAUAAGUCGAUAUAACACAUAAUUCAAGAUUUUAAAAUUUUUACAAUAACUGAAUAGCAAUUGAUAUACUAGUUUUUGUUAAUUUUUCUGAUCAUAUUAAUCAAAUAUACAGUUUUUAUAUAAGUUAAUAUACUGCAUGAUAUUAAUUAAGGUUGGUUAAAUAAAAUGAAAAUUAAUUUUUAGAUAUGUUACAGGCAUUGACAGGUCGAUUGCUAAAAAAACAUUAAUGAUCAUCCACUUAACAACUUUAAACAAAACUGCCGUUUUCACGGCAAACUGUCUAAUAACUUUCAUUUUUAUUAUUUCAGUACACAUUAAAUUAUAGAGUAAUAUUAUAUUACUAGAUAAUAUAUAUUGAAACUAACUGUCAUUGACUACUAAGCGCAAGAUUAGCAACAUCAAUUUACAACUUUUUGUCAUUGACUAAUUGUUUAUUUUUUAUUCGCGUAUCGAAAACUGAUUCUGAUUUUUACGUUAUGUACAGUUGGACUAGUAAACUAGGUAAAAACUAUCGGUUUGGCAGAAACGAAAAUCGUACCUUAAUCAGAUUUGGCGGAAAUGAUGCUUGGCGGAAACGAUGAACGCUCGGUACACGAUUGCCCGUGUCUUCUUCAGAUUGAACCUGUAAGUAAAUGUAUGGGGUUAUUGUGAAACAAAAUGUACGUAAACUUCAAUAGUCGCGCAUUAAUGUGCAGAACACUAACGGUCUGUCCGCUCCGGAUCAACGACGCAGCUAUCCCAGUAUAAUCCACGGAAAUCACGGUCCCUCUGCGGCUCCGGAUGGACGAAAUCAAACAGUUGUACGGGAAAGUCUUGCCGCAACCUCCGGCUCCGGAAACGUCGAACAACUUGGGCAAUGGACGCCUGGUGUCUUCGACCGCCCGCAUUACGCGAUCGUACAUCGUUCAUUGUUGUUCGUUUAGUUGACCGACCAAUUGAGCGACGUCUGUCGCCGUUACCGUCUUCGUCGCCUUGUCGGUCGGCGUGUCCGGUACCAACAGAGCGCGAUCCGGCUCGGAUAAACCGUAACCCGUGAGCGUCUUGUUUGAAGCGGCCAGGUGACGUUCCUUAGCAGCCAGACACAUGGCUUCUGUUGUGUCGCGGUAUGCGUGUCGUCUGAAAUGAGCUACGGAAAUAAAACUAUAGACGAAACAAAACUAUUGUGCGUAGUUCAAAUUAUUUUAUAAUUUAUUAAUAAUUAUUUAUAUUAUUGUGCACGUUGUAAUAUAUAAUAAUUAUAGUAAUAAGAAUAAAUAUAUGUAUUACUGUUAUUGUAAUUAUUAUUAUUGUUUUUGUGUUAAAAAUUUUGCAAUUUA